CCUACGGGGGGCAGCAGUGAGGAAUAUUGGUCAAUGGACGAGAGUCUGAACCAGCCAAGUAGCGUGAAGGAUGACUGCCCUAUGGGUUGUAAACUUCUUUUAUAUGGGAAUAAAAUGUUCCACGUGUGGGAUUUUGUAUGUACCAUAUGAAUAAGGAUCGGCUAACUCCGUGCCAGCAGCAGCGGUAAUACGGAGGAUCCGAGCGUUAUCCGGAUUUAGUGGGUUUAAAGGGAGCGUAGGUGGAUUGGUAAGUCAGUUGUGAAAGUUUGCGGCUAAACCGUAAAAUUGCAGUUGAAACUAGGAGUCUUGAGUACAGUAGAGGUAGGCGGAAUUCGUGGUGUAGCGGUGAAAUGCUUAGAUAUCACGAAGAACUCCGAUUGCGAAGGCAGUUCACUGGACUGCAACUGACACUGAGGCUCGAAAGUGUGGGUAGCAAACAGGAUUAGAUACCCCAGUAGUC
rnacentral:rRNA from 1 species